CGCACAUUGCGCCUCUUGGUAUUCCAGGAGGCACGCCUGUUCGAGCGCCAUUACAAACUCCAAGCGUGGGCUUGAUGUUGGACGGUGUCGGGAGGAGACUCCUGGACACGUCUGGAACGCGUGGGCGCCGCCGCCAGACCACGAGCGUAGCAAGACGGAAAGUCGAUCGUUCGGUUUUGGAUCUGGGGAGCGGCCGUCGGCCGGACCUGUGUUCUUCCGUCGAAGCGACGAAGAACGAGGGACGACGAACCCAAAAAGUUUGGCCUCGGAUCAGGCGGGGAUACCCGCUGAACUUAA
rnacentral:misc_RNA from 1 species